CGUCCUGAGUCACUGGAAUCACAGGUGUGGGCUACCACACCCAGCUAAUUUAGCUUCUAUGGAAGAGGGUUUUUGAUCCUCCUACCAUCUUUAUAAGUUUUUGGUAGCCACAGACUUGGGUAGCUGUGCACUCCCUAGCUUUUAAUUGUAUCUCAAAGCUCUGACGGCACUCAGUAGUUUAGGUGCCCUUAUUACUGGAUGACCCUUAGAAUAAAGGCACAGAUUAAAAAGAAUUUUUAUUUUGAUACACGUCUCAUUAUGUUUUCCAGGCUGGAGUGCAGUGGCUAUUCAAAGGUAUAAUCGUAGGUCUGCAGCCUCGAAGUCCUGGACUCAAGCCGUCUUCUUGCUUCAGCUGGGACUAACAGAUGUUUUCAAGGAAAGGACGUUUAAGAUCCUGCCUUGCCCUUUUGUAUGUGUGGCUAAUCCUGGAGUCCGAGAAGGGAAAAAGAAAAAACCUGAAAAAGUGAGUCUCCUCCAGUAUGGAAUGAAUCUGUAUUACUGCUAAACAUCUUCAAAGUAGACUUUAACUUACUGCAAUAUUUUAGUUGAUAUAGAUCAUUUUAUCUAAAGCAAAUAACACUGUGAUAUAUUAAGUAAUGAGUGAGACAGAAUUAUGGUAUAUGUUAUGUAUGUUAGCAAUCAAAUAAUUUAGCCAAUAUACAGGUAAAAUGGUUUCUUCUCUCUUUGAAACUAUUUUACUUAAUUCUGGCCACAGUGGUGGCUCACUUAUGUAACAUCCCAGCACUUCGGGAGGCCAAGGAGGGAAGACUACUCGAGGCCAAGAGUUAGAGACCAACCUGGCCAAUAUGGUAAAACCCAGCUUAUACCAACAGUACAAAAAUUAACCAGGCGUGCAGCACAAGCCUGUAAUCACAGCUACUUGGGAGGCUGAGGCAGAAGAAUUGCUUGAGCGCAGGAGGCGGAGGUUGCAGUAAGCCAAGAUCAUGCCACUGCACCCCAGCCUGGGUAACAGAGUGAGACUCUGUGUCAAAAGGAAAAAAAAAAAAGGAAAAACACAACAAAUUUACAUAAUUCUCCCAUCCAAGUACUAACCAGGCCUGACCCUGCUUAGCUUCUGAGAUCAGAUGUGUUCAGGGUGGUGUGACCAUAGACUAAUUUACUUAAUUCUAUCUCAUGGCUACUGGUUAGGAAACUGACCUUGUAUUUCUAGAUGGAACUUUCCUUUGGCAGGUAUAAUUGCUAAUUUAAAUAAACUAAGAAGUGAAUGUGGGUGUGUGUAGAGA
rnacentral:lncRNA from 13 species